GCCUCGAUGGUCUAGUGGUAUGAUUCCUGCUUUGGGUUCUACAACACAUUGCAGGAGGUCUCCGGUUCAAUCCCGGAUCGAGGCC
rnacentral:tRNA from 1 species